GAAUAAAUAUCUCACCACUUGUUCUCCCACUUGCAAUUCACCACCAGCUUUCUUUUCUUAUUCACUUUCUUUCUUUCUCCUUCAUUCACGUCCCUUAUUUUCUUUUCCUGCAACACUUCUUCUUUCUUUCAUUUUCUUUUGCUGAAGCAACCCAUAGGAUAUUUUGAAUUCAGAUAUUUUCUAUCUAUCCUCGUCACGUUCUUAUCUGCUUCUUCUCUAUCCUUUCCUUUACAUAUCUGAAUGAUUAUUAUCAUCACAUUUUGGCACAGCAUAAUCCCAAUCCCCUCACCUCUCGACCCAUUCUCUCUUCUCACCACCAACAUCACCAUUCUUCUUCGUUUUUGUCUCUUCUUGGCAGCAAGCAUCACCGUCAUCUUUCUUUCCCUUGGCAGUCCACGCACACCAUGUUUCUUCUUCUACAAAUCACGUUUUUCUUCUCCUUUCUUCUUCUUCAUUACUUUUCUUUUCUCCAUGGCUGGCCAAACGCACCACAACCCUCUGUCCUUCUUCCUCACGUAGCUCCCUUGGACAGCCACAGUAACCAUAAUCUCUAUGGACUUAUAUGGGUACGAAGGACGAAAGCGCCUUGCGACGAAGCUAAAGAAUAGAAGGAAGCGAGCCGACGCGGAAAACAAAGAUGUGAUAGGAUUGGAGUUGCAGUUUAGGAAGAAAAUUGGCUAAGAUGUCCAUUGCGGACUGGUUCACAAUGGUCCACCCUUUGGGGGGGAUCAGAUAUGAGGUGAUUGACCAGGAUGACCCCGGUUCGUGGGUGGUAGACCCCGCUAGCCAUCGCGCGACGUACUCCGGGAGGAUCAUGGAGGACCAUGUAGAUAGUGGAGGACUCUUGAGGUCAGGAGUGCUGCGGAGAUGCUCUGUCAGCUUCAACUUGCCACCGGGCGUUCACUGUGGACCAGGAUUUGGAGGAGCACCGCCGCCACCGUCAUCUUCAGAGGACGAGGAUCCCUCAGAGGAGGAGCCAGUGGGAGUGCCUUCGGCAGAGUCCAGUUCACCCACCGUUGCGAUCAUUGAUGAUCAGGGUUCGGGCCCUAAGCCCGUGAGUCCAGCAUCGGAGCGCAUCGCGGUUGCGAGGGGAGGACGGAUAGGGUUGGUAGACUUAGUCGUUCUGGAUUCUGAUUCAGACGACAAUCAUGCUAGCACGUAGGUUUAGUGCUGGUGUGAGCUCCUCGAGUUAGGAUUAGUGUAGGAGUAGAGUCUUAGCUCUGACAGUCUUUGCUUCAUUUGUUUCUUUGGGGACAGGGUAGUUCCGCCUAUAGCUUUUUGUGUGGUUUCUUUACGGGAAUCACAGAGAGUUGGUUGGACUUAGGAGGUCUUAUUUUCAGACCAUUGGGUCAGCUUAUUCUCAGUUUUGAGGGAUGGUGUUGCGGACACUUCACCUUUUCAUUUGGUUUGUACAUAUUGCCUACGGGCGCUACUCUUCUAUUACCCGUCACUGGAGGUUUACUCGUGACGAGGUUGCUACUUACAGCGGGGGCUGUUAUAUAUUUUGUAUAUUAGUUUUAUUGCUUUUCGCAUUUGGGUUUUAUCUAUUUCAGUCUUGUCUUAGUUAUUAUCGAAAAAAAAAUAUUCACGUUUUUCCGCAUUAAGUUUACUUUUGGUUACUAAAGUGACGCCACCGAAAUCGGGGUGUUACAGGAAGGCCCUGAUGUCCAUGAAAUCCUUCACAUCGCGUGGCCCAGAUGGGUUUCAGCCUUGUUUCUACAAGCGAUUUUGGGAUCUCAUUGGUGGUGAUGUGUGCUCAGUUGUGCAGAACGCUUUUAUUCAAGGUAGGGUGGAAGCAAAACUUCUAGAACCCUUGGUGGUGCUUAUCCCUAAAGUGGAGAGCCCUUCUUCAGUCAAGGAGCUUCGCCCAAUCAGCUUGUGCAAUGUCUUGUACAAAGUCAUUACCAAGGUUCUGGUUAAUAGAUUACGUCCUAUGAUGAAUAGGUUAAUUGGCCCCAUGCAGAGUAGCUUUUUACCAGGCUGUGGCACUAUGGACAAUGCGUUUUUGGAUCAGGAGAUAAUACAUCACAUGAAUUCCUCCUUGGCUCGGAAGGGACUUCUAGCUUUCAAAUUUGAUCUUGAAAAGGCAUAUGAUAGCGUUUCCUAGGAGUUUCUAGAGGAAACCCUUCACCUCUUUGGUUUUCCUUAGAAGACAAUUGAGUUGAUAAUGAGUUGCAUUGGUGGUUCCAAGCUGUCUAUUCUUUGGAAUGGAAAUAGGCUCCCUCCCUUCCACCCUGGGAAGGGUCUCCGCCAAGGAGAUCCUCUAUCCCCCUACUUGUUUGUGCUAUGCAUGGAGAGACUAUCUUUGAGGAUUCACCAGUUGGUGGAAUCUGGUGCUUGGAAACCCAUCAGGAUCUCCCCUCACGGACCCCCUAUCUCCCACUUAUUUUUUGCUGAUGAUGUUCUUCUAUUUUUCCAAGCUAAUGUUAGCCAGGUCCAAUUGGUAGCAGAUACUCUUCAAUUAUUUUUCCGCCAUUCAGGUUUAAAAAUCAAUAUCAACAAAUCGAAAGCUUUAGCCUCUAAGGGUGUGCAGCCUUUGGUUCGUGAGGAGAUCAGGUCCAUAGCUCUCAUUCCUUUUGUUCAAGACCUUUGCAAAUACUAGGGAUUUCCACUCUCUGGCGGAAGGAGAACAAGAGGACGCUUCAAUUAUCUCAUGGAUAAUAUAGGCUGAAAACUUGCAGCUUGGAAAACCAACAUGUUGAACUUGGCAGGUAGAGUUUGCUUAGCCAAGUCGGUAAUUUCAGCCAUGCCGACGUACUCAAUGCAAGUGUUUUGGCUUCCACGACACAUGAUUCACAAGAUUGAUAGAACAAUGAGGAGCUUCAUCGGGUCCAAGGGCAAUGGUACCCGCGGGUGGCACAUGGUUAAUUGGAACACGGUCACGUUGGACAAGUCUCAUCACUACUACAAAAAAGGCUUUUUGCCACGGUUCGACACGCCCUUUCGCCACGGUUAAACCGUGGCGAUAGCUACCGUGGCAAUUGAGCACCGUGGCAAUUGCUCAAUUGCCACGGUUGGAGGGCAAACCGUGGCAAUUGCUUUACCUAUUGCCACGGUUCGUAA